CCUUCCCUCCUUGGGGUUAUGUGAAACCACCAGACAACUUAGCUGACCGUCAGUGGAGGUCUAGGUGCAUAUUCUUCCCAGCUCCUACAUAAACAUACUUGGGAAGAAUCUUUCUGCAACUUCCCCAGCACUGCCAGUGCAAAACGGUGCACGAUUUUCCACUUUAUAUUAAAUCAUUUCUAGUUAAUUAGUGGUGGCUCAACUGUUUGUGGUACUGACCACCUCAUCUGUAUUCGCGCUGUGUCAACACCCAUCAUGUUAUGAGCACCAAGCACAUUAUGGCACUCGGAAUGUAAUAUAAUGUGAUCAUCAUCACAGCAAUGUUUGGAUUCAUUCAAGUCAGGAAGAACUUAGCCAGUCAGAUGGAAAAAGCAUUAAGUACUUGCUGGUCUUAAUAGCACCCGUGAAUGGAGUUGCAGUGGAGAUGCCUGCUUCGUAUGGAGUGACUAUUUCUUGAAAGGGGGAGGCAGCCCAUUCCAUUUGCUAGAGUAGAGAAUUAAGAGUUAGAAGACCUGGGUUCUCUUCCUGCUCUGCCAUUGACUUAUUGUGGAAAACCUGAGCAAAUGGCUUAAACUCUGUACCCCAACUUCCUCAUUUUAAAAAAAGUUACAUCAGUCACAAUAUAACUCCAUGCCACUGCUCUGGCACUGCUAGCCAAGCCUCGUUCAAAACUCUGUCCAGC